ensembl:snRNA U4 U4 spliceosomal RNA
AGCUUUGCGCAGUGGCAGUAUCGUAGCCAAUGAGGUUUAUCUGAGGCACGAUUAUUGCUAAUUGAAAACUUUUCCCAAUACCCCACCAUGACUACUUGAAAUACAGUCAGCGUUGGCAAUUUUUGGCAGUCUCUACGGAGA